rnacentral:rRNA from 1 species
ACUAGCAGUAAGAGUUUGAUCCUGGCUCAGGACGAACGCUGGCGGCACGCCUAACACAUGCAAGUCGAACGGCCCCUUCGGGGGCAGUGGCGGACGGGUGAGUAACGCGUGGGAACCUGCCCCUUGGUUCGGGACAACCCGGGGAAACCCGGGCUAAUACCGGAUGCGCUCCUGGCUUUGGCUGGGAGGAAAGAUUGAUCGCCGAGGGAUGGGCCCGCGUCGGAUUAGGUUGUUGGUGAGGUAACGGCUCACCAAGCCUACGAUCCGUAGCUGGUCUGAGAGGAUGAUCAGCCACACUGGGACUGAGACACGGCCCAGACUCCUACGGGAGGCAGCAGUGGGGAAUCUUGGACAAUGGACGCAAGUCUGAUCCAGCGAUGCCGCGUGAGCGAUGAAGGCCUUAGGGUUGUAAAGCUCUUUCGCCCGCGACGAUGAUGACGGUAGCGGGAGAAGAAGCCCCGGCUAACUUCGUGCCAGCAGCCGCGGUAAUAC